AUUUAUAUAGUUUAAAGAAAACAUUACAUUUUCACUGUAAAAAUAAUAAUUAAUAUUUAUAAAUA
rnacentral:tRNA from 2 species